rnacentral:rRNA from 1 species
CUGUGAAGGUGCUGCAUGGUUGUCGUCAGCUCGUGCCGUGAGGUGUCGGCUUAAGUGCCAUAACGAGCGCAACCCUUAUCUUCAGUUACUAACAGGUCAUGCUGAGGACUCUGGAGAGACUGCCGUCGUAAGAUGUGAGGAAGGUGGGGAUGACGUCAAAUCAGCACGGCCCUUACGUCCGGGGCUACACACGUGUUACAAUGGGGGGUACAGAAGGCAGCUACCUGGUGACAGGAUGCUAAUCCCAAAAGCCUCUCUCAGUUCGGAUCGAAGUCUGCAACCCGACUUCGUGAAGCUGGAUUCGCUAGUAAUCGCGCAUCAGCCACGGCGCGGUGAAUACGUUCCCGGGCCUUGUACACACCGCCCGUCAAGCCAUGGGAGCCGGGGGUACCUGAAGUACGUAACCGCAAGGAGCGUCCUAGGGUAAAACUGGUGACUGGGGCUAAGUCGUAACAAGGUAGCCGUACCGGAAGGUGCGGCUGGAACACCUCCUUU